CAGUUAACGUCUAUAGUGUGAUCUCGGCGCACAGCGCAAAGGUGCUUGCACCUUUCAAGUGAGUGGCGAACGGGUGAGUAACACGUGGACAACCUGCCUCAAGGCUGGGGAUAACAUUUGGAAACAGAUGCUAAUACCGAAUAAAACUUAGUGUCGCAUGACACAAAGUUAAAAGGCGCUUCGGCGUCACCUAGAGAUGGAUCCGCGGUGCAUUAGUUAGUUGGUGGGGUAAAGGCCUACCAAGACAAUGAUGCAUAGCCGAGUUGAGAGACUGAUCGGCCACAUUGGGACUGAGACACGGCCCAAACUCCUACGGGAGGCUGCAGUAGGGAAUCUUCCACAAUGGGCGAAAGCCUGAUGGAGCAACGCCGCGUGUGUGAUGAAGGCUUUCGGGUCGUAAAGCACUGUUGUAUGGGAAGAACAGCUAGAAUAGGAAAUGAUUUUAGUUUGACGGUACCAUACCAGAAAGGGACGGCUAAAUACGUGCCAGCAGCCGCGGUAAUACGUAUGUCCCGAGCGUUAUCCGGAUUUAUUGGGCGUAAAGCGAGCGCAGACGGUUUAUUAAGUCUGAUGUGAAAGCCCGGAGCUCAACUCCGGAAUGGCAUUGGAAACUGGUUAACUUGAGUGCAGUAGAGGUAAGUGGAACUCCAUGUGUAGCGGUGGAAUGCGUAGAUAUAUGGAAGAACACCAGUGGCGAAGGCGGCUUAGUGGACUGCAACUGACGUUGAGGCUCGAAAGUGUGGGUAGCAAACAGGAUUAGAUACCCUGGUAGUCCACACCGUAGACGAUGAACACUAGGUGUUAGGAGGUUUCCGCCUCUUAGUGCCGAAGCUAACGCAUUAAGUGUUCCGCCUGGUAGAGUACGACCGCAAGGUUGAAACUCAAAGGAAAUUGACGGGGACCCGCACAAGCGGGUGGAGCAUGUGGGUUUAAUUCGAAGCAACGCGAAGAACCUUACCAUGUCUUGACAUCCUUUGAAGCUUUUAGAGAAUAGAAAGUGUUCUUCUUCGGAGACAAGUGACAGGUGGGUGCAUGG
rnacentral:rRNA from 1 species